rnacentral:rRNA from 1 species
GCUACGGGAGGCAGCAGUGAGGAAUAUUGGUCAAUGGGCGCGAGCCUGAACCAGCCAAGUAGCGUGAAGGAUGACUGCCCUACGGGUUGUAAACUUCUUUUAUAAAGGAAUAAAGUGAGGCAUGUGUGCCUUUUUGUAUGUACUUUAUGAAUAAGGAUCGGCUAACUCGGUGCCAGAAGCCGCGGUAAUACGGAGGAUCCGAGCGUUAUCCGGAUUUAAUGGGUUUAAAGGGAGCGUAGAUGGGUUGGUAAGUCAGUUGUGAAAGUUUGCGGCUUAACCGUAAAAUUGCAAUUGAUACUGGCAGCCUUGAGUACAGGUGAGGUAGGCUGAAUUCGUGGUGUAGCGGUGAAAUGCUUAGAUAUCACGAAGAACUCCGAUUGCGAAGGCAGCUUACUAAACUGCCACUGACAUUGAUGCUCGAAAGUGUGGGUAUCAAACAGGAUUAGAUACCCCGGUAGUC